rnacentral:lncRNA from 1 species
GGGAAAGGGAAGGGAGGGAGAGGCUGUGGGGAGGAGGAGGGUGCUUCACCGGAGGCACUGCUCAGAGAUCCUCAGGGGGACCCAACCCACAGCUGUCCCCUUCCCUUCAGGGCAGUGGCCCUCCCAAGUGCAGCUGCGCCUGCCCAGUGAACUAGGUUGGGAACAUUUCCCGGUGGUGGGCUGGACUCCAUACACCGACUCAGAGGGCUCAGAGGUAAGAAAGACUGGUACAAACCCUGUGGCCGCUUGACCAGCCCCGCUUGUCUCUCAGGCUCAGUGUUCCCAUCUGAAGAGUGGGGGUAGCAGAGUGCUUGCCCUCUGUGUUGUAGAGGAAUCACAAGGAUUCUGCAGACAGAGCACUCAGCCUUGUUUCUGCCUGGCCCCUGGGACGCGCCCCAUAAAUACUCGCUAUUAUUUACGAUUGUCAAGGUCGCUGGCUUUAGCAUCAGGAGGCAAGCAGUUGAGAGAGGCAAACUUCAGGACUGGCCUGGAACCUACUCCUAUUUUUCAAAAGGGGAUUAUGUGCCAACGCUGCUCUCCUGUCACUGCUGGUGAGUGUGAUAUAGAAAGUUCUGGUGGCUGCAUGAGUGGGACAUGGGUCCCAGUACCAGGACCAAGGCCGGGGUGUCUGCCCCAGGAUACCAGAGACCCAGGGUUAUAAGCCACAGCUGUGGAGAUAAAACUCCAUCCCCCAGUCUGGAGUUCAGCCCUGUGAACCCUGCAGUGUCCCCUGAACCUGUUGUACUGACCAUCCCAGUGGGGCCUAGGGGCCUGAGAUGGAGCAGGCUGGGUAACAAAGGUUCCAGUCCUGAGUUGAAUGACAGCUGGCAGGACUGGGCUUUUGCCCAUGCACCUCCCUCAUCUGAGCCCGAGGCACCCCUUCUCCCUGACAGUGGAGGCCCAGGUUUGGGUCUCUGGGUGUUCCUGGGCUCCCAACGCCUCAGAGCUGGGCUGAGGGAAGAAAACAGCCUCAGAGGCCCCAGAACUGGACAGAUGUUGGAACAGACAGAGCUGAGGACAUCACGUCUCCCAUGGGCCUGACUGAGGGGCUCCUGGAGCCGCAGGAGACACAGGCCUCCCAGGGCCUGGCACAGGCCUUAGCUCUGUGGUGGGACCCCGCAGCCCCCUCCUCUGCUUCUCAGAUGUCCUGACUCUGAAAGGAAGGGUCAGGUGACAGCUGCCUGUGAGUCAGGAGCCCCUCUAGCUGUGACAGCGGAGAAGUCGCAGCAGUGCUGGCUGAGAGGAGGGUGGGGACAGCCGGAAGGUGGGCACUGCCCGGCAGACAGCAGCCGGGACUUUCCUGCUGGUAAAAUCACCCUGUUCUUUCCCUUCUUCAGUGUGGUCUGGGUAGGGGGUGACAAUGGCUUCACCGUUUCCUCAGAGGCCAUCUUUGACUGAAAGAGACCUCAGGCCCAUCCUAGGCAGUUAGAUGUGACAGUAGGGACACCACAUUCAGCUGGGCAGAUUGUUCACUGUCCGAGAGCGCUGGCUGAGGGGACAGCUGUGGGCCUGGAAUCCAGCCUCCCCUGUUCCCCAGGCCACACUCUUCAGCCGGGGCUGGACCUGCCUGAAGCACAGCGGCACCUUGUGCACCGUUGGUGCCACGGGGGGCCACCUAGGGGGCCUGCUCCCAGCUUUGGUUUCCUGAACUGAAAACAUAGAAGAGAUCCUUGCUCCAAACCCAU